rnacentral:rRNA from 1 species
GUGCCAGCAGCCGCGGUAAUACGGAGGGUGCGAGCGUUAAUCGGAAUUACUGGGCGUAAAGGGCGCGUAGGCGGUCGCGCAAGUCGGGUGUGAAAGCCCCGGGCUCAACCUGGGAAUUGCAUUCGAUACUGCGUAACUAGAGUCUGGUAGAGGGAAGCGGAAUUCCGCAUGUAGCGGUGAAAUGCGUAGAUAUGCGGAGGAACACCAGUGGCGAAGGCGGCUUCCUGGACCAAGACUGACGCUGAGGCGCGAAAGCGUGGGGAGCAAACAGGAUUAGAUACCCUGGUAGUCCACGCCGUAAACGAUGUCAACUAGCCGUUGGGAGAUUUAACUCUUUAGUGGCGAAGCUAACGCGAUAAGUUGACCGCCUGGGGAGUACGGCCGCAAGGUUAAAACUCAAAUGAAUUGGCGG